UCCUAUUAGUCAUGGGAUGAAACGAGAUGCUGGGCUCCAUAGCCAUGGCAGGCAACAACUGGCACAACAUCCUGAGCUUCUGCAAGCUGAUUGCUGGCAGUUCCCAAAUGCAGGGCCUAAUUCUGUAGUUACAAUUCAAGCUCUACGGUAAUCAUUACGUGCAGGAAAAAGAGACCUCUCAUUUUAUUCUGAGCUCACUAUUAACGGGAAGGGGAUUUUCUGUUGUGUUUUGUCUUGCCAACAUUGCUAAUGAAUGUGUAAACACCUCCUGGCAUAGAUUUACCAGUUUACCGAGGUUGGAGUUCGCACUGCUAACACUCCUCCCUGUACAGAGCACUCUGUUCGUUAACCUUGGGCAGCCACUAAUUAGUGGGUCACUUGCAGGUCAGAGGUGUGCUUGUGCUGUGCUUCUUGGCUGGCUGUUGUGUUAUUACUGCGACUGGAAGUGCCACAUGUGGCAGGCUUGCAGUGUGUGUUUGGAAGGCUGGCUGUGCAAUUAGAGUGCGUUAUCCCAAAGCAGAGGAUGCCAGCUGACGUUCAAGAAGCAAUAAAAGCAGUGAUAUCUUUCCUGCUUCCUUCACAACAAAUAGAGUGCUGCUGAGGUUCAGUGGUUCAAAACAUUCAGCUGUUGGUGGUUUUAGCAGAUUGGGGAUGUUUCCUCUUGGAAAAAUAGCUCAACAGCCCCACAUCCAUCCAACCCAGCAGCACACCCUGCCCUCGGAUUGGCCACAACUGCGCAGUGUACGUAGCUAAGCAGCACUGCUUAUGGCAGAGACUCAGAGGACAUGAGUUGGGUAUGAAAACAUAAUCAUGAGUUUAUUUGAAUAAUGAGUUGUUAAAAUAUUUUGCUUUCCUUUCAUUUGCCCUCAGUUUUCCUGGCGUUUGCUGUCUUCAUUUCCAAGCUUCUUCCCUCUCCAGUCCUUUGCAGAGAAUUCUAUGGAGGUGUUUCUGCUUGGCUGAAGUUCUGAAGAGCAGCAUUCUUUCUCACACCAUUGCGUGACUCCUCCUGGGGCCCUUGUUGGUCAUUAAACAUGUUGAGAGCUCUGCCUUUGCUCUUGACACAACGUUAAGAAUGUGAUGAAACUGCAUGGAAACAAAUAGAUUGUAAAUAAGCUUGUUCAGUAAAUAUGCACAAACUGGUCUGGCUACAUCCAGAUGUUCUGGCUUUGUUUCUUCUGCAAUACAGGGCUGGGAGGUCCCUGAGUUAUCGCACCUGGGCGUGUGUUACCUGCUGCUUCUCCACCCUUGAGAUGUACGAUCACAUCAGGACAACCGGUCAGGAUAUGCUACAAAGCAGUAUUUUUGGUCUCCUUGACUUAGCAGAAAGUACAACGUUGAAUCUUGGGGAGGAGGGACCACAAGGUGGAGCGCCGUGAAGUGCUGCCCGUUGGCCAUCCCUGCAGCUGCCAUGCUCAACAGCUGACUGGGGUUGGGGCACAGGAUGGAGCUGUUACUUUCCCUGCUCAGAAGAGGGCAAUCAACAAAACCUUAGGGCAGCUCCAAGGGACAUGAGAAUCUUGCUUUACACGUGCACAGAGCAACCCUGGAAAGAGUGAAAUGAAGAACUGGCAAGGAAAGUUGAAGGUGGUGUGCUGUCCCAAGCAUGCAGGUAUGGUGAGUGUGUUCAAAUAGAUCUUGAAGCUGAAAUUUAACAUCCUAUAACAAGAACUGAAGCCUCAUGUACACAGCAUGCACCUUUGGGGUUAUGCUUAGAGAGGAUGUCCAGUGGGCAUAUCUGGGAGGUGAUUUCCCAACAAUUAGCAAUUCUUGUGCUGAAAUCAAUGGGAAUGGAGCUGUGAAACGGUGAGUGUUGGGUGGUGUCACCCCUCCUGUAUUUAAGAGCGAAGAUGUGGAGACUCAGCAGAGUGCAAAAUGGAAAAACAGAUCCAAUUGCGUUUGGGCUUUGAAAUAUAGAUAAUCUCGUAUGUAGCUGCCUGGUAGUGUGUACCUGUUGUGUGGCAUGGUGUGUAAUUGCAGUGUUGGUAUCGUAUAUAGAUGUUAAUGUAACAGAUCUAGGGCUAUAGGUCUAGAAGACACAUCUGAUCUUGAAUCAGUGACAUUCUGCUGUAUCUCUGUCUGCCAUCCCACACCACAUACGCAGAAGCAGUCGCCAUGCAGCACGCCGUGGACAGCCCAGCAAUCUGUAAGCUGAUUUAUCACAUCCCUUUGAUCCCCUCCCUGGACCAGUGCUCGCCAAGACCUUCCUACAGGCACUGCUUGUGUUGACCCAGACCUGCCCACAGCUUCAGCCAGCUGCCGUUUUGACAGUCAAACUGCCUGGGGAAUCCUGCUUCCACCGUGGCUCCAAAGAAAAAUAUCUUCUCCGCAUUACAUUGAUUUAAACAGCACAUGCAGCGUUUGGCUUUGGUUCAAUGGCAGACUAAAGGUCCUCUACAUUAUAAACUAUCAGGGCUAGAAAGAUUUGCUCUAUAAAUGGCUCCGUAUGCGUACACACUGUAUAUAUAUUAUGGAUCUGCUUAUGUCAUGGAGCACUUCAAAUAUCCCUUAAUAAAAUAAUAGACCCCUAGGUAGCUGUAUAUACUGGCAGAAAGUUGUUCAGCCUUUUGGAGCCAUGGAAAAUGUUAGUGCUCCUAAACAGUUCUUCUUUUCCUCAGUGUGGGUAAUUAAAACCUCGGGACAUCCUGGAUCUCCUUGCAGGCUGUGGUGCACCGUGGUCCCGAACCUGACGGGAGCACUUUGUGGGAGAAAUAGCAGCUGUUUAAAGAGAUUGAAAGGGGCUUGCUUGUCUCCUGGCUGGACCUGGAGGCUGAUGAGCAGAGAGGAAUUGGUUCUUAGCUUUGCACACAGGGGCUGGGACAUGGGAUGUCACUGGUGGUUUCACACUUUUCAGUGUUAAGCUGUUGUUGCAGUUGGAGAUGUGGUGAGGUCGACCCCCGGGGCAGCGCUCGUGGCUCUGUGUUACACCAUGCUGGGAAGUGGGUUUGGUCCUGUCUGAGUGAAUGGACCCGUGAGGAUAAAGCUUUGCCUUGUAGUAGUGACACUGUCCUAUCCUCAAGGUGGUUUUGGGGAUGGGGCCCUUUAGGAUCCAUAAGGAUGGCUUCCCAACCAUUCCCAACUCCUCCAACCUUUUGUCUCUGCUGCCUAAAUCCAGGCAGCAAACACAGGGCUGCUUUUGUCACAACAAGAGAAAGCAAAGAUUGAUGGCCAAGCUCUGAGCACCUCUCUGCCCUGAAUUUAGCUUUCCGUUUGCCUUUAAUUUAUUAUUUGCAGUUAAUUUAAUCCAUAUUGAGCUGCCUCAAAGAGAAAAAAGCUCUAGAUUUGGUGAAAAAUAAUCUAUUUUUAAUUAUUUCUGAUGUAGAACACUAGCCCAUAAAUAAA